rnacentral:rRNA from 1 species
CCUACGGGUGGCAGCAGUGAGGAAUAUUGGUCAAUGGACGAGAGUCUGAACCAGCCAAGUAGCGUGAAGGAUGACUGCCCUAUGGGUUGUAAACUUCUUUUAUAUGGGAAUAAAACGUUCCACGUGUGGGAUUUUGUAUGUACCAUAUGAAUAAGGAUCGGCUAACUCCGUGCCAGCAGCCGCGGUAAUACGGAGGAUCCGAGAGUUAUCCGGAUUUAUUGGGUUUAAAGGGAGCGUAGGUGGAUUGUUAAGUCAGUUGUGAAAGUUUGCGGCUUAACCGGAAAAUUGCAGUUGAAACUGGCAGUCUUGAGUACAGUAGAGGUGGGCGGAAUUCGUGGUGUAGCGGUGAAAUGCUUAGAUAUCACGAAGAACUCCGAUUGCGAAGGCAGUUCACUGGACUGCAACUGACACUGAGGCUCGAAAGUGUGGGUAUCAAACAGGAUUAGAUACCCGAGUAGUC